UUGCGGACGUGUCCGUCAGCCUUUCGAGGCUGAAAUGGACCCCCCUGGACGGACCAUCCGCGUUGGAGCCAGUAACUGAAUGGAUUGAAUAUUAGACCGUUCCUCCACUUUGUCCAGUGCUGACUGCCAGCUCCGGGCCUGAUCCUGCCCGUGCCCCCCCCGGACGCUGGCUGUGCCUGCGGGGAGCAGUUUGCAGCCAUAAGGGCCUUUGUGCUGGAAGCCAGUAACGUUGGGAUGCGGGGCCGGGGCCCUGCCCUGCAGAAGAGCCAUGUGGCUGUUUCUCCCUGCGCCUAGCUGGGCAGUGCUUCCCCCUUGCCCCACAGCCUGAGAUCUGCCCGGCCGGCCCGGAGCUGCGGGCGCCUCUGUUCCCAGCGGGAGGCGCGGGCGCGGACCGGGCCCCUGGCCGAGGUGGGUGGAGCUCGGGGGCGGCGCGGCGCGGCGGGGGGAGCCCCGGCGGGCAGGGGCGGAUCCGAGCGGAGGGGCUGGGAAAGGCAGCGGAGCCGGCUGCAGGCUGGGGCCGGCAGGGUUAACCCCGGGCAGCCGCCAGCGCCGCCGGGCUCCCUGCGGAGCGGGCAUCGUGGCCUUUGCGAAGCGCCUUCAGCCCCCUCCCUGCCCGGCCGGCGGGAGCGGAGAGGAGCCGGCCCGGCUCCCCACGGGCUGCAUGCAGCCGGCGGCGCGGAAGGGGGCUCGGGCGAGCCGCCGCCUGCCCCCAGCCCCGUAGCCCGCUCCCCGGGGGCUGCGCCCGGCUCGGCUCGGGACCAUGCGGCCGGCAGAGCUGCAGCAGAACUGGGCCACCAUGACCGGACCCAGGGAGCCGAUGUGCCCUUGCAGUCCUUGAGAGAAACGCCCGACCCCGAAGAGGCAGCGAGGUCGAUGUCAGGACACUGCUGGUGUUUCUGCUCUGCCAGGGGACUCUGAAUGGAUUUGCCAUGGUGACAUGAAAAAGACAGGGGGGAUACCCGACUGCCGGCUGGGAGAUCCUACACACACACACGCAGCCUGAUAGUAUUUUAAUUUAUUACUGUGUUUUCCUGUGAAGGGAGUUGAGAGCAGGAGGGGGG
rnacentral:lncRNA from 1 species